AUAAGUUGCAAAAGAUAGGAAGGUGAAGCAAAAUGUAAUUGGUGAAUUACAGAAAAUAAAACUUCUCCUCAUUUUUUCUCUUCUAAGAAAGAUUCCUAAUCUCCAUGGGUUCCCACAAGCCAAAAACCUUAAACUAGUUAGAGGUUGGUUUUCAAUUGGUGGCGUCCCUCUAAUUUUGAAGAAGAAUACAAUACCUAAUCUUGCAUCCCAAGGAGAACAUUUUUUGUCAGAGACUACAACGUGAAUAAGUAUGUGAGACCCAUACCUAAGAAGGGCUAGUAUUUAACUAUUAAAGAGAAAGCGUUUUGACAUGGGCUAGGCGAUAAGAAGCUGGUGUUUGAAGUUUAUUGCAAGAUGAAGAGUUAGGUUACCAAGCAUUAAGGUCAAAGUAAGGAAAGGGUAAGGGGCUUGCUAGGCGAGAAGAGGCUGCCAAGGCGUUUAGCUUAAGUUAAUGUUUUGUUUAUGUAAUUUCGCUAGGUGUUGUAGAGUGUUGUAAACGUAUGACUUAAGUAAUACAAGUUUAAAAAUUGGUUA